UACGUAGGUGGCAAGCGUUAUCCGGAAUUAUUGGGCGUAAAGCGCGCGCAGGCGGUUUCUUAAGUCUGAUGUGAAAGCCCACGGCUCAACCGUGGAGGGUCAUUGGAAACUAGGGAACUUGAGUGCAGAAGAGAAAAGCGGAAUUCCACGUGUAGCGGUGAAAUGCGUAGAGAUGUGGAGGAACACCAGUGGCGAAGGCGGCUUUUUGGUCUGUAACUGACGCUGAGGCGCGAAAGCGUGGGGAGCAAACAGG
rnacentral:rRNA from 1 species